CCUGGUUGAUUCUGCCAGUAGUCAUAUGCUUGUCUCAAAGAUUAAGCCAUGCAUGUCUAAGUAUAAGCAACCAUACUGUGAAACUGCGGAUGGCUCAUUAAAUCAGUUAUCGUUUAUUUGAUAGUACCUUUACCUGGAUAACCGUGGUAAUUCUAGAGCUAAUACAUGCUAAAAACCCCGACUUCGGAAGGGGUGUAUUUAUUAGAUAAAAAACCAAUGCCCUCUGGGCUCUUUGGUGAUUCAUAAUAACUUAACGAAUCGCAUGGCCUUGCGCCGGCGAUGGUUCAUUCAAAUUUCUGCCCUAUCAACUUUCGAUUGUAAGAUAGAGGCUUACAAUGGUAUUAACGGGUAACGGGGAAUUAGGGUUCUAUUCCGGAGAGGGAGCCUGAGAAACGGCUACCACAUCCAAGGAAGGCAGCAGGCGCGCAAAUUACCCAAUGCUAAUUCAGCGAGGUAGUGACAAUAAAUACUGAUACGGGGCUCUUUCGGGUCUCGUAAUUGGAAUGAGUACAAUCUAAAUCCCUUAACGAGGAACAAUUGGAGGGCAAGUCUGGUGCCAGCAGCCGCGGUAAUUCCAGCUCCAAUAGCGUAUAUUAAAGUUGUUGCCGUUAAAAAGCUCGUAGUUGAACCUUGGACCUGGCUGAUCUGUCCUCCUAAUCGAGCGCACGGAUUCGGUCGGGUCUUUCCUUCUGGGGAGCCCUAUGCCCUUCACUGGGUGUAGUGGGGAACCAGGACUUUUACCUUGAAAAAAUUAGAGUGUUCAAAGCAGGCCUUUGCUCGAAUACAUUAGCAUGGAAUAAUAAUUUAGGACUUCUGUUCUAUUUUGUUGGUUUCUAGGACCGCUGUAAUGAUUAAUAGGGAUAGUCGGGGGCGUCAGUAUUCAAUUGUCAGAGGUGAAAUUCUUGGAUUUAUUGAAGACUAACUACUGCGAAGGCAUUCGCCAAGUAUGUUUUCAUUAAUCAGUGAACGAAAGUUAGGGGAUCGAAGACGAUCAGAUACCGUCGUAGUCUUAACCAUAAACUAUGCCGACUAGGGAUCGGACGGUGGUUUUUUUAUGCCCCGUUCGGCACCUUACGAGAAAUCAAAGUUUUUGGGCUCGGGGGGGAGUAUGGUCGCAAGGCUGAAACUUAAAGAAAUUGACGGAAGGGCACCACCAGGCGUGGAGCCUGCGGCUUAAUUUGACCCAACACGGGGAAACUCACCAGGUCCAGACAUGCUUAGGAUUGACAGAUUGAUAGCUCUUUCUUGAUUGUAUGGGUGGUGGUGCAUGGCCGUUCUUAGUUGGUGGAGUGAU
rnacentral:rRNA from 1 species